rnacentral:rRNA from 1 species
UACGGAGGAUGCAAGCGUUAUCCGGAUUUAUUGGGUUUAAAGGGUGCGCAGGUGGUUGAUUAAGUCUGAUGUGAAAGCCCACGGCUUAACCGUGGAGGGUCAACGGAAACUGGUCGACUUGAGUGCAGAAGAGGGAAGUGGAAUUCCAUGUGUAGCGGUGAAAUGCGUAGAGAUAUGGAGGAACACCAGUGGCGAAGGCGGCUUCCUGGUCUGUAACUGACACUGAGGCGCGAAAGCGUGGGGAGCAAACAGGAUUAGAUACCCUGGUA